GGCUUAACACAUGCAAGUCGAGGGGUAUAUGUCUUCGGAUAUAGAGACCGGCGCACGGGUGCGUAACGCGUAUGCAAUCUACCUUUUACAGAGGGAUAGCCCAGAGAAAUUUGGAUUAAUACCUCAUAGUAUAGCUCUACCGCAUGGUAGUACUAUUAAAGUCACAACGGUAAAAGAUGAGCAUGCGUCCCAUUAGCUAGUUGGUAAGGUAACGGCUUACCAAGGCAACGAUGGGUAGGGGUCCUGAGAGGGAGAUCCCCCACACUGGUACUGAGACACGGACCAGACUCCUACCGGAGGCAGCAGUGAGGAAUAUUGGACAAUGGGCGCAAGCCUGAUCCAGCCAUGCCGCGUGCAGGAUGACGGUCCUAUGGAUUGUAAACUGCUUUUGUACGAGAAGAAACACUGCUUCGUGAAGCAGCUUGACGGUAUCGUAAGAAUAAGGAUCGGCUAACUCCGUGCCAGCAGCCGCGGUAAUACGGAGGAUCCAAGCGUUAUCCGGAAUCAUUGGGUUUAAAGGGUCCGUAGGCGGUUUAGUAAGUCAGUGGUGAAAGCCCAUCGCUCAACGGUGGAACGGCCAUUGAUACUGCUGAACUUGAAUUAUUAGGAAGUAACUAGAAUAUGUAGUGUAGCGGUGAAAUGCUUAGAGAUUACAUGGAAUACCAAUUGCGAAGGCAGGUUACUACUAAUUGAUUGACGCUGAUG
rnacentral:rRNA from 1 species